UAUCAUCAGAAGCAAAUAGUCCCUAAAACAAAUUCCACAGGGGCUGAAGCAGCCCAGCCUCCUGCCACAGACACCUCAAUCCUGCUCCAUGCCGCUGCCCCCAAAAAUUCAAUGUAUGCUUGGAAACACGGCAAAAUCCCAGCAGCGACGCAGCCAGCGUGGAGAAUUAACUCAGGACCGCGGCUUUGGGGUGACCCACGCGGGCCGCGCCCGGACAGGACCCCAAACCGCAGCUGCUCCCCCCGACCCUUCCAGAGCCAGAAGCGUCUGUUCCAGCAGAUCCCGGGGCUUUUCCUGCCUGCCAGCCUCUCCCAGCGACACCGCCCCGCCGUAAGGGACACCUUGUGGAGGGUUCCCACCCCUGCAAGCCCCCGGGGCCAUGGGGAGAUGCGGCAAAAAAACCGGGAAUUUCAGCUCCUCAGGCAGUGCUGGUGGCACUGAGACAAUGUCCCCGUGUGUCCUGGGGAGGCGCCUGACAUCUCCCUCUGGAUGCCACGACGCUGUUCUGAUGCUUCCAACAGAGCCUGGGCUCACAAAGUGCUUCUGCAGCUCCUGCCCACCAGAUCACCAGACAUUGCAACCUCUGGGGUCACCCUCAGCUUGGUGGCACUUUCCUGCAUGGGACAACCCAGUCGUGCUGUCCCUCCCCGCUCUCCCACGUUUGUACCUGUGUCUCAAGACACAUUUUCCUCCCAGCUGGAGGAAAAGGCACUCAAGGGGCUACCCCAGCUCAAUGGAAAACAAAAUAAUAAAGCUUUUUUUUGCUUAU